rnacentral:misc_RNA from 1 species
AAGUCGUAACAAGGUUUCCGUAGGUGAACCUGCGGAAGGAUCAUUAGUGAAACGACGCUCGCGCGUCACACAUUGGCUCCGGACUGUGCGCCUCGGCUGCACGUCCGGUCCCAAAUCGUGAUUCUCACACCUGUGCACAUUUCGGACGCGCAAGCGUCCGCCUUUUUCACCGAAACACCAGUCUCUGAACGUUAAAUCAAUACAAAAAGUAAUACAACUUUCAACAACGGAUCUCUUGGCUCUC